AUUGCGAUCUCUCAUUAUGGUCUGUUUCACUAAGAGAUAAUUUCUUUUAAUACUGUUUAACCAAACAUGUGUGUGUAUUUUUUAAUUGUUUCCAAUAACUUCACAGAGAAUCAAACAGAAAAUGAAAUAGAAAGAAUGUGACUCAGACAGAUAUUCUGAAAAUAAGCUAAAAUGAUCAAACUACUGUAGAUUGUGGCUUAUCUAUUCCCAAACUAAAAACUUGCAUCUAUUGUUUUGUUUAAGCCAUUUUUAACAAGACAGUCAUUACUUACAACAGACGAGUUUCCAGACCAGAUGUGUAUAAUGAGAACCCUUGAAAGUCACAAAGACUCCAUAGAGCACAAGAAAUCUAUAUUUACGUACUUGAAUUAGAAAAAGUAAAUCAAUUACAAAUGCCUCUACACUAAUGUCUUGAAUAACAGAUAAGAAAGAAAGAACAUUCAGUAUUAUUUUAAAGAGCUUAACGAAAGUAAUUAGGAUUAUUAAAUUUUUAAGUGAAAGACAUUUGCCCUUCAGAGUUCACAAUAAAGGCUGGCUUCUUUCAAACUGUUCAAUUUGAUCCAUUUUUACGUGAACAGUUGGGAUAUGUUAAGAUUAAAAAAAAGUAAGAGUGACAUAUCUGGAACAGUUUAAAAAGAAUUAACUGUAAUAAUGGGAAAACAUGUAAAAAAUGAAAUGGUAAACAAAAUUGAAGAAAAGGACACCAAAUAUUAAUUCAUCUUUCUAGCUUCUAAACUGGAUACAAGACACUGAUUGAUUAGUAAUUAUUAGGCCUUACCGUUUUAACAACAACAAAAACCUGAUGAGUGUUUUCUAACUUUUUUGCUCACUGAAAGCCAACUAGAUGUUGUGGCUUUAAAAAAAAAAUGAAGUGAGUUCUGGAAAAUGGUAACUAACUGCUGAAAAACAUUAGCGAUAAAUUGUAUGACAAUGCAGCUGUUAGGAAAGGUGGGGACAAAGGGCUGCAAACACUCUUUAAAAACUUUAAUAAGUAAGCAGAAUAUGUGCCAUGCCAGCUCAUUUCUUUAAUCUUGUCAGAGAAAAAGCUGCUGUGACAGUAACUGAAAUUGUUGACUACCCUAGUAUUUUGCAACAGCUUUGUUUUGAGAUUCAUCUCAUAGAUAAGAGUAUUUUACAUAAUAGGGUAUUUUAAACACACAUGCAACUUAGAGUUUCAUGAAAAAAUCUCAUUGUAGGGAUGCCUGGGUGGCUCAGUCGUUUAACCGUCUGACUUCAGCUCAGGUCAUGAUCUUGUGGGUUCGUGAGUUUGAGCCCUGCAUCGGGUUCUAUGCUGACAGCCCGGAGCCUGGAGCCUGCUUCAGAUUCUGUGUCUCUCUCUCUCUCUGCCCCUUCUCUGUUCACGCCUCUCUCUCUCUCAAAAAUAAAUAAGCAUUAAAAAAUUUUAAUAAAAAAAGAAUCUCAGGAAGAUCAUUCUAUUACAAAGUUGCUUGAGCCUUAUGUGAUAGAUAUGAUAUCUUAAGGAUCUGAAGAAUUUUUUUCUAAGAGUUAGAGCAUGUAAAAAGUUUGUUGAAAAAGUUGAGGAACUUAAUUGUGCCAUUUUAACUGCUCUUCUGAAGAUAUUUUGGAAUGUUUCAAUGAAACAAAUGGGAAAUUAUAGCUUCCUGAUUGGGAACUAUAUAAAAAGUAUCAUAUUUUAUCAUCUUUAAGUUUUAUUUAAGAAUUGAGAGAAAAUACAGAUACAAGGUAAUAGAACCUGACUCAAAUGCAGUGAAGUUGAGUGAUGACAUUAAUAGAAAUUAUUCUGACAUUGAGAAGCAUAUAGUAACAAUUUGUCAGGUGGCACCAAAAUUCAGUAAGAGGAAGAGAUAAAGUUCAAAUAAAAGUACUGAAUAGGUUCUUUCAUUGUUUGAUAUCCAAUUAAUGAAGAAGGAUAAACUAUGUGAACAUACUGGGAAAGAUGUUUGAGAUGAAAUACUGGUAAUCAUGAAAAAGACAGCAUUUAUAAUACUCCAUUACAUCAACAGUAACUGGGAAAUGAUCUGUGGAUUCAAAGAAAAGUAGAAAUGCUUUGAAAUCCUACAGCUCAUAGGGAAAAUAAACUGGAUAGAAUAUUUCCAAAUUUUACAAUAAUCCUAAAAACUUAAAUAACAUGACCACUUUCAUUGACAGUUUUCAAAAGAUUCUUUUUCAUAGAUGAAGCCAAAAGAAUUUGUCUAGCAUUAAAAACAAUGCAAUCAGUCAUGCUGGAGGAAAUACUGAAUUAUCUCCCUAUUCUCUCCUGAGGAAACACUAAUUUAAAAUUUUUCAUUAUACAAAGAAGUGAUAAAAAAUAUGCAGCCAAAAAACAUAAAUGAAAUCCAUUACUACAGAGGUGUGUCAGGCAGGUGAUCAAUGAUGUGUGUUAAUAUUUAUGGACUUUGUGGUAUUUGCCAGUCUUUUAAAUUUUUUAAAUUUAUUGUGAUUUCUUAUUUACAAUAAGAUUACAUACUAAACUUCAUGCUUAAUAAUGUAUCUAUAAUUUUGUAUUAGUUUUUUUCAAGAGGGCUCCCCAAGUUAUGUAAGUUCGAAGCUUGGAAAACCUGUCUCUGACCUUGCUUGUAUGGCGGUGCUGAGGAAACCAAAGGAACAGGGAAGAGGCGGAAGUUGUUUGCUUUACAUGGACCUCUUUGCUGGUGCUGAAGGAGAGGAGAGGCACUGAUCCAACUAUCCAUUGUAGUGAUUUGCAGCAACCCUCUGUGCUGAAAGCUUGGCUUCUGGAAUCAGAUUGGGUUUGUGGCUCUAUCACCUAAUGUCUAUGCAAACUUGAGCAACUCAGCUUUGUCUUUUUCUUCUGCAAAUGAGGAUAGUAAUUUAUCUCCUUAUUCAGUUGUGAGGAUCAAAUACACCAUGGAGCUCAAUAUAUGUUAAGUAAGUGAAAGACAAACAAUACAUACAAACACCAGAAUGCAGGAUAGGUGAAAAUUCAGCAAGGUGGAACUCUAGGAGAAACAUGAACCAAAGAGAAAGGCAUGAUAAGAGGGCAGUGAGAAAAGAUUUGGAGGAAGAAUUGUUCUUAAAUGAAGUACCAUAUUUAUGGAAUUCUUCAUUUCAAACUGAGCUGCAGGACACUGACUUCUCCUACUCUGUUGAAGCCUCUGAGAUGAGGAUGGGUGGAAACAACUGAAUGCUUAUAGUCUACUAGAAAGUGUAUAGGUGCUGGGGUUGAGCGCCUUGGUUCUGGAAUUAGAGAAGCUGGGUUUAAGUGCUACACCUUCCACUUAUUGACUGACAUUAGACUGAAGAAACAAGUGUGGAGUGUGAAAAUAGCAUGCAGCAUUUGACAUUUUAAAAUUUGUUUUCUACUAGUUCCCUACAAAGAAUAGCCUGCUCCAGUGCUAGCCUGAGAUUUGGACCACAACAAAUGCUCAGCAUGGCAAGGUGAAUACCUCGCAGCCUAGACAGUUGGCAAUUUACUCAAGUCUUCUCGUUAGCAUUGUUCCACCCACUCCCUCCUCUGCCGGUUUCCUUGAGAAUGCUAUGAAAGUCAGGGAAGACACACAUCUUCUAGAGUCAGCAAGAGAUCCUCAAAUUAAGAUGGAGUUCCAAGGCAAAGAUUAAAUGUGUAUCACCUGGUAACAUAGGCUAAACUGAGGAAGCCGAGUCAAACCUAUGUGAAGACCCUUCUAGAAAGCAUAAACUUGUAGUCUCAUGGAAGCCUGAUGGGCCCAAAGAAUCUGAUUACAUAAAGAGGCAGGUCUAAAAAGGAGUCAUGAGUGCAGCUUUGACCAGUGGAGUUGACUCACUUCAAAUUUAUAGAUAAUCCUUAAAGUUCUGAAGAAAGAACCAGUUUGAACUAAAAGAAACAGAGGCUGUUGGGGAUUUGAAAAGGACUUUAGGCCUUCAAAUUUCUACAAUCAAGAAGCAGGCUGUGAAGACGGCCCAGCAAUCAAAAGAGAACAUAUUUUCCAAAGGCUUCAUCAGGAGUGGACAAUGAGGAUGAUGGAUAGUGGUGUAGCUCAUAGCAGAUGCAACCAAAGUCUGGGUAAUAACCAACUAGAGAUGCACUUCUGAAGCAUCAGGUGGAUCAACAGAUAUUCCCUGUCCCAAAGUAUGGUGGGUUGGCAGCAUUUGAUCAGUUGGAUUUUCAGAAUUGCUAUUGGAGCAACGGCCGCUGUGUGAUUAGCCUGUUCUACCAUUUGUAUACUGGGUACACUGGGUGGGACGGAGGGGAGGAGGUUCAGGGUUACUUUUUUUUUUUUUCUAAUUGGCCUACUGUACUCUUUUAUUGUCUUUAUUUUUUUAAUUUUUAUUUUUGAGAGAGAGAGCACAAGUAGGGAAGGGGCAAAGAGAGAGCAGGACAGAGGAUCUGAAGUGGGCUCCACACUGAUAGCAGAGAGCCUGAUGCAGGGUUCGAACCCACAAACCAUGAGACCAUGACCUGAGCUGAAGUCAGACAAUCAACCAAGCCACCCAGGCUCCCUAACUUUUUUUUUUUUUUUUUAAGUUCAUAGGUCUCUGGAUUAAGAGAAAUUGCACUUGGACUUUAUAUAGAACAUAAACAACCUUGAGCCUGGCACCAUGAUUACAUUAGACAUUUUAGAGUCCUAAAGUAAGAGUGCUUGUGGUAGUUUGAAUAUUCAGCCCCUGUUCUUCAUUUCUGAUAACAUGCCUCAUCAUGGGUAAAGCACAUUUCCUUACUUUGACUCUGUGCUUGGCCAUGCGACAUUUCCACCUGACCAUUUUUUCUUCCAUUUUCAUUUUAUCCUUCAUCUCUAAUAAGCAAAACCCAAAUGCUUUCUUUGAGACCUGCCCUCUUAGAAGGUCAGGUACUUGGGGAAAUAUGUAUAUUUAAUCAUCUACCCAGGCACACAUAAUUUACUCACGCCAAAAAUAUUACCAUUUGAUGCUAUAAGAAAAUUCUUAAAGGCAAUAUUGUGCAGUAAAAUUAAAUGUAAUAUUUCAAAAUGUAGUAUUUCAUACAGAUAAGAACCAACAGAAGGCUGGACUGUGUCCUCCGCUAUCAUGGAGCAAGAAGAAAUGGCUUGCUACCUGAUGAAUCAGAGUUAAAUGCAACCACAAACCCAGAAGUUUUUAAAGUGUGAUUCAGGACUACAAGUAUUUUCAACUCCAUUUCAGUGGAUACUGAUAUUUAAACUGGGAGUUCACUGUGACAACUACAGCAAAGCACUAUUAGGUUACACACAUCUGUACUUGUUCAGAUAAAUGCACUCACCAAACUCCCUAAUUCCCUUUAGAAGGAUAAAGAAGCCCAUUAAUGGAAACUCAUCACUGACCAGGAUGAAACUGGUUAUCAUUUGUCAAGGACAGUUUAUAACAUAUCCCGUGGUACCUACAGCUAUUUGACAUGCUUGUGGUAUUUCAGACUGUGGAAUAUAUUUUCUAGUCUGAAAUCCAAGUAAAAUGAAGGGCAAAAUCAGGCUUUCCUUUCAUUAUUUCAUUUUUCUCCAAAUUUUCCCUGUAAUUUCCUGUAAUUUCCCUGUAAUCAUAGUCUGGAACUAUUUUUGCAGAAUGUUUUCUAGGACAAAGAUAUGGAUAAGGACAUCAACCCUACAAGGGUCAAGUUUAAUUAAUUUUGACCAAAAGUUCAGAGGAAGAGAGAAGAAAAGAAAGAGGAGAAAUCAGAGGAAGAGGGAAGGAGGCCUUAAGGCCUGAGAGAGGGCAAGAUAGGGGAGGGGUCGGGGGGAGGGGAAAUCAGCUCAGGGAGGAGGGAGAGGGACAGAGUGAGCAAAGGAAGACUAGAACCACAUUAGAAAAUGAGGGCUAAUUUCUCCUGAAAUCUCCUGGAAAGAGCAAAGAAGGAGCUGUCUCAGUCUCUGCCUGAUGGAAAAGACUUAAUUAAAAAUUUUAAAGCCGCUGAAAGUGCUGUUUUGUUGGCAUAUUAGCUGUUUCAAUGUUAAUAGCGCUUUUGAAUUUUAAAUACAGACAUUUUGUCCCUAGUUCAGAAACUCUGGAAAAGGGAUACGUUUUUGAAAGUUCAAACAGGAAAUACCUCAGAGAUUGGGGUCUAAAAUUUUGAGCAUGUGUGGGGAACAGCAUAAUAAUUUCAUCUUACCUGCCAGUGCUCACCAACUGAUCUAUUCAGAGUGCCAUGCAGAGAGGACCACUGCCACUGCUGGGUUUGGUAGGCUUGACAUGUGCCAUUCAGAUCACUCUUCAAGGAAGGACUUUUUGCCCCAGCUGUUGGGAGAGCAGUCAGCAGAUGUCCUCCAUCAUUUAAGUGCUUCAGGGUCCGCCUCAGCUGCAGAGAAUCAUUUCUAUUUUUUUAAUUAUUUUUUUAAUGUUUAUUAUUUAUUUUUGAGAGAGAGAACGCGCCCGCACAGGCGAGACAGAGUGCAAGCAGGGGAGGGGCAGAGAGAGAGAGGGAGACACAGAAUGCGAGGCAGGCUCUAGGCUCUGAGCUGUCAGCACAGAGCCCGAGGACUCAGGGCCCGGACUCACGAACCUCGAGAUCAUGACCUGAGCCAAAGUUGGACGCUUAACCAGCAGAGCCACUCAGGUGCCCAGAGAAUCAUUUCAAUCAAGGUCAUGCCCCUGCCAAGGUGGCCUGCAUCCAGUGAUUAAUCAUGGUGAAGAUGUGAAGAUCCAGCCAUUUUUGGCCCACAGCAGAACAACUCUGAUGGGUGUAUGCUCCAGAGAUUGCAAGAGCUUUGUCUGAGGGUUUAUCAGGCCUGCAUCACAUUCCAUUUUUCCCUCUGCCUGAUCCUGUUUCCUCCUCCCCCCCCCCCCACCUUCCACAGUGUUGGUCCCUGAUCACUGUCCUGUACCCACACUCCAUCUGUGUCAGUGUCUGAUUGCAGAGAACCCAGACUACAACCCUUGGUUCAGGGAAAUGCAUGUUGUAAUUGAUGUGUGAUGUCUGCCGUGGGUGAGGAUGAACACACUUUUGCCAGGCUGUUCAUCAAGUCUCAAACAAUCAGGACAGAAGAAUCAGUAACUUUCUGGGCCUGAGAGUCAACAUCAAAGGGAACAUUGGAAUCUGGUGGGGAAAACCCCAGAAAGAUUCAACCAUUAAUUCAUAAAGCACUUAUUGAUAUUAGCUCUAUACCAGGGAGAACUAGUAGUGCAUAGAAAAAAAUUAAAACAUAGUUUAAUAGAGACUACUCGAAACUCCUUGAAGAAGUCGUGGAAGUCCAGAAAACAAAGAGAAAAGCUUGCUGAGAGAAGUUGGAAAGAAGAAACGAUGUGUAUUUUCCUAUUGCAGAGAGAACAUGACAGGCCUCUUCAAGUAUGGAAGGCGGGGCAGCGAGUCAGGGAGCAUGGCCUGCUUGGGGAAGGGUGGUGGGGUAGCAUGAUGAAGUGGCGGGUGAGUGAAGGUUGGAGAGGGUCAGGUGGGGAGGCAGAAUAUGAGACUAGAACAUCUGGUUAUUGCCAGUUGGGGAAGGUCUUUUCUGCCUCGCUCAGGAGUUUGGACUUUAUCCAACAGCCAGUGGGCACUUUUGGAAAAGAAACUGUGUUUCUGUUACGGGUGUGUUAAUGUCUUGGACAGAUGUUAGGCUUUUCUUGUGUUGUUCUGGAUUCUAAUACUGUUUGUCCUUUGGAUUAGUUUACACCUCCGUGGGCCCUUUAUCCCCUCAAGAGAGUGAGUGUUUCAGGUGUUCCUCAUUUAGGAAAGGCAUUCCUCAGAACAAUUGGAGAAGGAAUUUCUAUUUCUCUCUGGGUUUUUCUUAGUCUUGGGCCUGAAUUUUAAUGAGGCUUACUGUGCUUGGGGGCCACUGCAGAAUCCUGGGGUGUUAGGCAGGGCUGGGAGAAGUUCUCUGACAUGGAGAAGCAGUCUAGAAAAAGCAGAGGGGGGCCACAAACUACAGAUGAGUCAAAUAUGACUUGUGAAAUCAGAUUUCUCAAUCAACUUCCUUUUUGUUGUCCUGGAGCUUUAAAGCAAUUGUGUGUAACAGUGUGUGUCUGGUCUGGACUGGAGGUAUCUCCCUGGUGUGCCAGCAAGUGGAAUUAGGAAACACCCUCCUGGAAGUCCUCCAACCACUCUGGGCAGGCUGUCUCCUUAACUGUGAUAGCAUGCUCAGGGACACAAACAGAUGUCCAGCCACAUUCCCUGAUUUGUCUAGGUCUCAGGAGCCUCAUAAGAAAGCCCAUAAACUCAUCCACAAUUAAGAGUUUAUUACAGAUACAGCUGACAGACCCAGUAAGCGGGUGAGAGGGAGAAAGGAUGGCUCAGAGAAGGGGGAGCACUCUCCAAGAGUAUGAAUGCAGGAAAAUCACCAGGAUCCUUGGCAGAAACAACUCAUAAGUGUAAGCUGAGGGGUAGGUUCAAUAGCAGGGCUAAAUGUGGCAAAGGAGCAGUCAUUCUGAUGGAGCAUGAGGCCGUACUCUGUUCACACCACUUCUCCCUAGGGGAGCAUAAGGCUCCGUGGGAGGGAGGGUGCUAGGUGAUAAGACUGAUAGGAUUAUUACCCAAGCAGUUAUGCCAGAAAACCUCAUCAAAAAGACCUGGACUAGAGAAGUAAUAAAUACACCCAGCCAGAGAGACAGAUGUCAUCCAGAGACAGAGAGGCAAAGGGUGGAGGAGCUCAAUGGUUUCAUCCAGGAGAAGAUGCUAAUCUAUGACAGAGACUUGACAGUGAAGAGUGAGGGAGAUGUAGGUGGUAAUAUUAAUAGGACCCUGUGGCAUUAAACCUGAGGAGUGAAUAAGACAGGAUCUAAUGGUACUUCUGUGACUCUUUAGGUAGACAAUGAUAUGACAAUUUAGUGAGGGAUGCAGGUAAAAGGACUGGAAUAAGGAAAAAUAAGAAGAAUGAGUUUGAUCUGGAAAGUUUUCAUAUGUUGGAGUAUGUUGUUUGAUUGUCUGGUAAAGUGGGUGGGAAAAACAGCAGGAAGUUGAGUAACUUGGAUUAGGAACACUUAAGAGAUGUGGCAGAUGAAGAAUUAAUAUUGAAAGUGGUUAAGAAUAGAAGCCUGGAAAAUACCAUAUGUAAGGAACAAUUAGCGGCAGUGGGAUGAAGAGGAUGCAGAGAAUGUGUGGCAAAAAAUAUAGGGGGAAACGGGGGAGCUCUAGGAAUGGGUAUUUCAUGGAGUUUUGUGGCGAUUGAUGCCAUCCUGGAGACAUAUCACAUUGGAAAGAGGAAAUAGUAAGGAUGAGGUCACCACUGUGAGAUCAGGUGUUCAAUUCAGAAAGACCAAAAGAAGAUGUGGCCUGUGAAACUGUUAACCUGUGGUCCUAUAGCUGGGGAAAGCCACUCAGAACAUCAAGUAUUACAUGUGAGGAUACUAACUCGGUAGCCAUGUGACCUAACAUAGUGUACCACAGAGACAAGAUGCUAAGAGUCUGCUCUCAGAGGACAUGGACCAAAGGGAAGUCUAAUGCUAACAAGCAAAUAUAAUUAUUAACAGAGAGGGAGUAAAAUCAGUGUCACUCAGUUACCUCCCCACUGUCUCCCCUUGUUCAUUCUCUGUAUUUGGCUCUUAUCUGUGCCCAAGGGAGCUGCCUCAGAAUCUGGAGCGAGUAGACCUGGCACCACGCAGGUAUGUGUAGUUUGGAAAACCAUUUCCCACAAGAUUUUAUCAUGUAUCCUCAUGGUUGAGAAACUCCUGCUUUAGAUCUGUGAUUCAACCAUUUCUAAGAUACCAGGUUUAAGAAGUUUUAUAACAGUUGAGGAACCCAAGUGGCCACCUAGUAAAGGCUGUAGUGUCUAGGUAGGAACUACCUUGACAUGGUCAUCAGUGCUCCAACUAUCCAGCAUCAUUUAGGAAGGGCUGUGCAACUGAUGGGCAUACUGUCUAUCCAAGAUUAUUCUUUGAUUCAAAUGUAUUUGUAGCUGAAGAGAAGUACCAGCUACCUCUCCAAACCUGCCUUAGAUAUGCCACACUUGGGGGGAAUACUUGGAAGUCUUGCUUCAUGCUUGUGUCCACUCCACACCCGCUGCCCUGCCCCACUGCCCCUUUCUUGGGUGGGCUCCAGGAACUCUAGUUACUCCACAAAAAUGCCACAACUGAGUAUAGCACUGAAGAAUCACAUUCUGCCUCCCUUCACAGGGUAGAUUUUUCAUCUUUCCUUAAAAUUGAGGAAAUAAAUCAAUGCCAUAUUUUUCUUGUUUUAUCAUGCACAUGAUAAGGAGGAAAACAGGAUUUACUGAGGAAGAACCUGCAAAUAUUUGUUGUUUAUAAUGUGGAAAACUAAAGUAAGCCAGCAGAGACGAGCUUGGCUCUAAUAGUCCCUGAAUAACAUUCAGUUUUCUUGGAAAUGUGGUUUAACUGAUCUGGUUUUCAAACUGCACAAAAGCAGAAUUAAUUAAUAUUUUCCUCAUUUUUUAAAUUAUGGCUUUGUUUUCCAACACGAAUGAGACAUUUGAAUCUAUUAAUAAGUAAAACUACAAAUGUUAUUCUUAGCAUAAACUAGGCAAAACUGAAGCUCUUUUAUAAAAGAUGCUACUUAAAGAUGCAAGAGAGCUGCCUGAUAAAAUCAAUCAAAAUAAGUCCAGAAGUGUUUCUUCUUGAGAAAAAAAAAUAUAUAAUUGGUAAUUAUAGAGCCAGAAUAGAAGAGAAUAGCUACUCUUCAAAUAGUUGAUUAAGGCUCAGUGAGUUUCUCUAUGGUGUUUUGAAAAAAAAGGGACUAUUUAGUAAGUAAAGGCAGAAGACCUUCUGAGAUAAACAAAUGGAAUUAAGUAAAGAUGUUUUCUCAUUUAUAUCCAGGGUGGAAAAGUUUCAUCCUUUCUGCCACUCACAUUACAAAUUAGUUUCAUUAAAGAACUGAAAUAAAUAUACUAUUUGCAAAGAUUUCAUGUUUCAGAUAAGUGUUUUUUUCCCAAAGAUCACAUUUUUUUUUCUUUCGGUUUGUUUGAAGUUACAAUAAAUGAAUUCUUGAAAAUUCUCUGCUAUAAUUUCUUACGAUGUUUCUUUUAUUCAUUUAUUCUGCAAAUAUUUACUGAGCAUCCACAAUGUUCUAGGCACUAUGUUCAACACUCUAAGCAAGCAACCCCCCCCAUUUUAAUUUUGUGUUAUGCAAAGAGUUGAGUGAAAACAUGUUUUCUCUCAUAAUAAUACAAGGAUACAACUUCCUUUUAUCUCUUUUCAUGGUGAAAUUUUUUGGCAUAAACAUAUUUUCACUUUUGACAAAAGAAAAUUAGUUUAAUUCUCACCACUGACAACAAAUCUAAAGGCAGCUUUUUAAGUCCUUGUCUUAAGUUUGAUUAUUAUUUGCUUUGCUAUGCAGGGUGCACAGCACUAAAAGGGAACAUACCGAUCUUCCUUUCUUCUUACUACCCUUUACACUAUUCUUACCGCUCUUCUUCCUGGAACCUUUGCUCAGAACUCUUAUCUGACUAAAGACAAGCAAACAACUUUACUGACAGACAUAGACAGGGUCUAGUUAAAUAUGUUAAUUUCUGCUGACAUCAACUAUGGCAGAGUUCACUUUAACUGUGGCCUUCUUGGACCACUGGAGACCACCAAAUACUGAUUUCAGUCUAACUUAACUGAGAGAAGAGCUAAAUUUCCCAAUCAACCAAGCAAACCAACAAAUGAACUAACCAAUAAAAGGGUCCUGAGACCCACCUGGGGAUGGCAUAGCUGAUGAGUGGAAGAAGCCUGAAUAGGGAGUGGGUUGGAGAAGAUACCAAAUCUCUUGUUAGAAUCAGAUUUUUCAGAUCAGUAGUGGGAACAUGUUGAUAAUUUCUUAAUAUGGUUGCAACUGAUAAGGCUGAAAUAUGAAUGGAGGGGUGUGGAAGAGUGCACUUCCAGUGGUCUUUGUAAUGAGCUUCUGACCUCAACUUCCUUAUAUUCAUUUUCUUCCCUCCCUGUUUGUCUCCCUCCCUUCCUUAUUCUCAUUUACUGACAAAACAAUAUUAUUCCUACUUCAUGAAUAUGAGAAGCUUCUCUGUAGGAUUGUCUCAAGGUUUUAGACAGUUGUUUAUAAACUUGCCCUCAAAGGAGUCAGAGUGAGUUUAGUGGUUAAAAGCAUGCCCACAAUAGUGGGCAUUCAGUGUUUGCUUAAUAAAUGAGUAAAUGGAUGAAUGAAUGAAUGAUCUAGAAGUUCAAAUAAAUUUCUUCUUCUGUGCCAAGUCUGAUUGGUAGGAUUCAGGAAGAAUUAUUAGGGUACAUAUAUACUUGGCUGCAACAAUCAAUCUGCUAUGUCUGUCUAGCCAGGACAUAGGCACAGGGUGUGGCAGCAUGAGGGCUACUGAUGCAUUGACGUAGGCCUUGGCCCUUAAUCUAUCAAUGGAAGAAAUAAGAAGUUGGAAUUAUGAUGAUGGCAUUUCCUUCUGGUCCUCUUGCUCUUCCUUAGAAGGGACAAGUAAUCUUAUCACAUUCACCUUGGAAGGACUGGCAUCAGAGAAAGUUGUGUUCAUCACACUCUAAAGCCCAGUUAUGCAGACCAUGAGCACUAUUCUCCUCUCUAUUUCUUUCAGGCUCAGUAAAACAAAUGUUCCUCUUUAACUCUCCCCAUUAUUUUUUAGCUCCCAUUUUAUUCAGAUACAGAAACAACUUACUUUCGAUUUGCUAUUUGCCAGGUUUUAUUCUAUUAAACUAGAUCGGAUUUACCAGUAGACAUUUUAGAAAAUAAAAUUGGAGAUUCCAUUACAGAAACUGAUUCACAGUCCUCAGCAUGGUACCAAGUAUUUGUAUUUGGAAAAGUCCAUAAAUGUUUCUGAGACAUAGCUUUAGUUGAGAACUAUUAGUAUACAAAAGGAUUUUUUAUUAGCUGUAUUUGAAUUGUGGCUUCAGAUAUUGUCACUCGUGGAUCCUUAGUUUUUUCAUCUUUAAAAUGAGAAUAACAUACUGUGGUAAUCAGAGAUAAUACCAAAUAUUAAUCAUUAAUAUUUGUGUCCCUAAAGAGAUGUUGUAAGGAAGACAUCAUUCUAAAUCUGAAGGGAUUAGAGGGAUUGGGGAAAAUAUAAUAUUAUUAACAAUAUUAACACUCUUAAAUUUAUAAAGUGCGACUGGGUUUACUCAGAAUGAUCAUGGAAUUAGAUAUUGUAAUUAACUUACUUCUCUGGGCUAGCCAGAAAAUAAAUUUUGAUUGAAUUCUGCUUGCUGAAAAUAUUCCUAAAAUCUAAUAGUCUUUUCUGCCUUAAAAAAUCAAGUAUGGUGCACAUAAUUGAGUCAAUUUUGAUAAUUCCAGUACCACCGUGUUAGCAUUCAGAACUGAAACAUUUCAUUGUAUAGCAGUAUUCAGAUAUUCGGGAUCUGUCUGGGAGGUUGUUUUACUGCUUUUCGUUUGGUUCUUGUUUUCAAUAUAAACCAUUGUUUAACCCAUUCCUGGUUGCCUCAGCCAUCGUGAGGCUGCAGUGUUGUGCAAGAAUAGUCCUGUGCAAGAACAUCUGUUAUCAACCUUAGAUAACUCCCUCCUUGAUCUGGAGCUUUUAAAUUCUAUCCCCAGCCAAAAAGUGAAAACAAAUAGGACUGGUCCUUUGAUAUGUGUUAGCACUUUGGGCUUUGUUCUAGGGAGGAUGGGAGUAAAGAGACUGAAUUUCCUUGCUAUUCUAAGCCAUGUGCUUUCAACACUACUGGGAGACCAUUAUUUAUGCUCCAAACACUAAACCAGUCACCCUCUUAGAAGGAUACUUGCCUCUCUGAGUUCUCACGAAGACAAAGUGUGUUAACAUUUGUAAAAGCACAGAAGGGCUUGGUCACUGUCUAUCUUGUUUACCAAUCUAUCCCUAAUGCCUAGAAGAGUCCUUAAAAUAUUUGCUGAGUGAAUGAAUAAAUGUUAUUCUUUCUUCCUCAUCAUUGGGAUCACCACAGCACUUUCACUCUAUUUGUCUAAAGGCAUUUAUCAUAUUCUACACUAUGGUCUUUGUGUAUUAGCAUAGGACUCGUAUAUCACAACUUUGCUCCUCCACAGAACAUAACGUAGUAUGUGACACAGUAACUCAAUGGAUGCAUGAUGAAUGAAUGCAUGUUGUAAGUAGACCCAACUACUUAAAUAAUAUAUGUAGUAAAUGUUCAGGUUAGUUUUCUAAGCUCUGUUGACUAGUAACAGAAAUGCCCCAUCCAAAAUCUUCUGAGUGUAUUUAGCAGGAAGAGAAUUACUGACAGUAUCUUAUAUUUUUUUUGUUGGAUAACACUGCUUGGUGUUUAAACUCUUAACACAUCUGGUGACUGUUUUAAACAUACACACACACACACACACACAAUGUAUAUAUACACACACAUAUGUAUAUAUAUAUCAAUUAUAUAUAUUUGUUUUAAUGAUAUUUAAAGUCAUACAAAUAUGUAAGACCUACUGUAAUAGAAUAUUUUUGAGAAUUUAAAGUUAAACAGUGUAGUCCUUUCUUUUUGCAGAAUGCCGCCAGCAUUAGGCUCAAUGGGAAAGAAGGAGACCUUGGUUUGAUUCCUUAUUUUUAACCUCCGUUAGAUGAUUGUAAUUCAUUGUUUGUUAGGUUACCAGAGGGUAUACUUCAUCAACUCUGAUGCAUUUAGCAUGCAGCUGCUUUGUGUCUCAUGAGAUCCAGGCUGUCUCAGCCUACCACUCCUCCUGAAAUCUCCCCACUGCCUCCCAAAGAAGUAGUAUGUCAAUAUUAUGCUUUUAUUGAUAGCCACACAAUUCACGUUCCACUUCUUUCCUUAAACUUUUUUCAUUAUGUGAUUUUAUCUGCUGGCUUAGACCUUUCAUGCUAGCCAUUUGUUUUGCCCCCAAGUAUCUGGCCUUUAAAAAUAUAAUGCAGCUUACUGGCUUAUUGAAUAAGAGAUAUAUGGCUGUGCUUAUGGUCAAGCAUGACUGUGCUUACACACUAAGUCUUACUGAAAUGCCUCAGCUUCCUCAAUACUGUGCUAAUUCUCAUAAUGAAUUCCCAUUGUUAUGUGAUCAUUAACUGUAUACUGCAUUAAACCAGUAGGUUAAGCUUGGGGCACCUGGGUGCCUCAGUCGGUAGAGCAUGUGACUCUUGAUCUUGGGGUCAUGAGUUCGAGCCCCAUGUUGGGUGUAGAGAUUACUUAAAAAAAUAAGAUACCUUCACCCCCCAUACUAUAACCUAAUACUCAGACCAUUAAUUUUCAGAUGCAGAGUUAUUUUGAAGUGAUAAUUAUCGUAAAUAAAGAAGAAACAAUACAUGUAAAAUAUCUAGUUUUCAGGAAGAUUUGAUCCUACCUCAUAUCAUAUUUUUACUCACAAACUAAAGAUUAAUGGCUUAGAAAGCAUUCUUGUAAAAUGUGAGUUCACUAUUGAUGAGGUGAUUGUAAAGAGAAGGCAAUUAGUUUUAGCCAAUCUAGAGAACAUGCUUUAAAUGCAGUCAAUGAGUAGAAAAUGGGUAAUGUUUGAAACUUACCAAUGUAUGCUUUUACAUUAUUUUACCUGAGUAUUAGGGAAAAGUUUUCAGGUGAUUAAAAAUUUAGGGAAAAGUUGCUGUCCUUCAAAGGUAUAAAUGGAACUCAUAAGUUUGAUAUUUUUAAAAUACUGACUAUAAAUUUUUCAUCAAAAACGAUACCAGACUAUAUAGUUAUAAUAUGGUGAGAUAGGCAUAACUACAAGAAUUUUUUAAAGGAGCUAGAAGUAAGAAUGAGAGGACUACAGCUUAAUCAGCUUUUACUAGGAUAUAACCUUCCAAUUAGGACUUUAGUGCCAUUAAUAAUAGUGUGUUGUAGUACUUAUUACAAUGAAUGGUAAAGGUUUCUCUGCCCAUUUCCUCCCCAUUAAACCUUGAGCUCCUUUGGUAGACUGGACUAUCAUAUUCAUCAUUGUAUCUGCAGCACCUAACCUAGUACCUAGUAUAGGGAAGGUUUGCAAUAAUUUUUAAUUAACUAAUUAGGUACUGAAUAUUUAAUUAAUCAAAUAUAACGAGAGCUAAACUAUAAUUAUGAAAAUUAACUUGUAACUGUAUUAAGAGGGAAGUAAAAUUAAGAGUUAAAGCUGAUCUGUGCACCAUAGUUAACAUUAGACAGGGUCUUUUAAAUUAUGGAUUCAAUUUUGGAAUAGAAUUUGUAAGAAAAGUAUUGAAAAACUUGAUAGGUUAGAAAGAAGAUAACGUCACUCACUAUUUGGAGAGAUGUGAGGCUCAUAUUCUGAUCAAGUUAUCCAAAAGAUUAAGCAAAUUCCCAUGGCAUUUUGCUGUAUGGAUUUAUAAAAGGGCAAGACUCAUAAUCCCAAGACUUCAGAUAUUUGUCUAUUUAGUUGUCUUCAAGGUUAGUUUUUAAGGAGAUUUAAAAAUAAUGAUACUACUUUCCAUAUUGGUUAGGAUAGGGUUAGCCUUCAAGUAAUGAAGACCUGACCUCCCACCCCCAAUCUGAGCCCAAAAAAUGGCUUAAAUAAGACAGACCUUUAUUUUUCUCUCACGUACAUGUGUUUACAUAACAAAAGCUUAGCUUCCAUUUUCAGUAGAGAUCUAGGUUCUUUUUUGCUGUUUUAACAUCGUUAACACGUUGAUUAUGAUUUAAAGUGGCUGAUCAAGUCAGUUAUUAUAUUUACAUUCCAGGAAAUAAGAAGAAAAAGACAAGAAGAGCCCCCAAUUUUUUUUCUUUAAGGAGACUUUUUGGAAUUUGCACAUAGAAGUUCUGCACAUAUUUUAUUGCUUGGGUUCUCUUUCCGUUAAUGGGGAAGAUGUUCAGCUACAUAUUGAAAGGCAACCUGUCAUUUCUGUGACAUUAUUUAAACAAAAACAAAAACAAAAAAACCCAAAAACAUAUGCUCAUGGUAAAAACAAAAGAAAACAAGCAAACAAACAAACCACAAGAAACAAAACAUGCAAACAGUGUAGGAUACAGGUGCAAAGUUGAAAUUUCCCUGCCUCUCACUUUAAUGGAAUUUGUUAUUGUAGUCUGCUUACACAUUUUCAAUACCCACUCUUCCUAAGUGUUCCUCACUAUCAUCCUCAUUUUUCUAAAGAAGAAAAGAAUAAGCCCUAUAUUUUGUAGUUUUUCUUUUAGCCGGGGAACAGAUGUAUGGAUUUAGUCUACACCAACUGAAAGCAUCUAUGUGAAACUUUGAUUUAGAAUUGAAUUAUGUGGGGAAAGAGGUAGGCAUCAGAUUACCCAUUUGCUGGAGCAGAUUGUGGCAAGGCUUCAUGGUUCUGGAGUGAAGAUCUGUGGUGUAUUCCCUGAUGCAGUACUGGAAAUACCCACAAGUGUAUUUUACAUGUGUUUCUGGCAGUGAGGUUCUGGAGCUGGCAGCCAUGGGUGUAGCUUUUUGAUUUGGCUGGUCCUUGGUUGUGGCAGAAGCAGUGGCUUUAUUAGUUGGCCAUUCCUAUGAUGUGUGUCUUUUAUGGUGAGAGUCUUUUAUGGAUCUUCUGCCUAGGGACUCUAUCUUCAGCUUCUGCAGUGCUCCUACAGAUUUGAAACUUGCUGUCUAGUCUUUCCUGAUCAGAUUCUCCAUCUUCUUUAUGACCUACCUCUUCCCCCACCAAGAUGAUCACUAUCCUGAAUAAGGUGUUUAUCAUUCCGAUGCAUUUACAUUUUUUAACCUUAUAUCUCCUUAAAUACAUUGUAAAUAUAUUAUUAUUUUUUUAAAAUUUACAUCCAAAUUAGUUAGCAUAUAGUGCAAAAAUGAUUUCAGGAGUAGAUUGCUUAGUGCCCCUUACCCGUUUAGCCCAUCCCCCUUCCCACAACCCCUCCCAUAACCCUCAGUUUGUUCUCCAUAUUUAUGAGUCUCUUCUGUUUUGUCCCCCUCCCUGUUUUUAUAUUAUUUUUGUUUCACUUCCCUUAUGUUCAUCUGUUUUGUCUCUUAUGAUUUUUGCCUUUCUCUGACUAAUUUCACCUAGCAGAAUACCCUUCAGUUCUAUCCACAUAGUUGCAAAUGGCAAGAUUUCAUUCUUUUUGUUUGCUGAGUAAUACUCCAUUGUAUAUAUGUACCACAUUUUCUUUAUCCAUUCAUCCAUCGAUGGACAUUUGGGCUCUUUCCAUACUUUGGCUAUUGUUGAUAGUGCUGCUAUAAAUAUGGGGGUGCAUGUGUCCCUUUGAAACAGCACACCCGUAUCCUGUGGGUAAAUGCCUAGUAGUGCAAUUGCUGGGUCAUAGGGUAGUUCCAUUUUUAGUUUUUUGAGGAACCUCCAUACUGGUUUCCAGAGUGGCUGCACCAGCUUGCGUUCCCACCAACAAUGCAAAAGAGAUCCUCUUUCUCCGCAUCCUUGCCAACAUCUGUUGUUGCCUGAGUUGUUCAUGUUAGCCAUUCUGACAGGUGUCAGCUGGUAUCUCAUUGUGGUUUUGAUUUGUAUUUCCCUGAUGCUGAGUGAUGUUGAGCAUUUUUUCAUGUGUUGGUUGGCCAUCUGAAUGUCUUCUUUGGAGAAGUGUCUAUUCAUGUCUUUUGCCCAUUUCUUCACUGGAUAAUUUGUUUUUUGGGUGUUGAGUUUGAUAAGUUCUUUGUAGAUUUUGGAUACUAACCCUUUAUCUGAUACGUCAUUUGCAAAUAUCUUCUCCCAUUCUGUCAGUUGCGUUUUAGUUUUGCUGAUUGUUUCCUUCACUGUGUAGAAUUUUUUUUUAUUUUGAUGAGGUCCCAGUAGUUCAUUUUUGCUUUUGUUUCCCUUGCCACCAGAAGGGAGUUGAGUUGAGUAAGAAAUUGUUGCGGGCAAGAUCAAAGAGGUUUUUGCCUGCUUUCCCCUGGAGGAUUUUGAUGGCUUCCUGUCUUACAUUUAGGUCUUUCAUCCAUUUUGAGUUUAUCUUUGUGUAUGGUGUAAGAAAGUGGUCCAGGUUCAUUCUUCUGCAUGUCGCUUCCAGUUUUCCCAGCACCACUUGCUGAAGAGACUGUCUUUAUUCCAUUGGAUAUUCUUUCCUGCUUUGUCAAAGAUUAGUUGGCCAUACAUUUGUGGGUCCAUUUCUGGGUUCUCUAUUCUGUUCCAUUGAUCUGAGUGUCUGUUGUUGUGCCAAUACCAUAAUGUCUUGAUGAUUACAGCUUUGUAGUAUAGCUUGAAGUCUGGGAUUGUGAUCCCUCCUGCUUUGGUUUUCUUUUUCAAGAUCGCUUUGGUUAUUCGGGUUUUUUUCUGGUUCCAUAAAAAUUUUAGGAUUAUUUUUUCUAGUUCUGAGAAGAAUGUUGGUGUUACUUUGAUAGGGAUUGCAUUGAAUAUGUAGGUUGUUUUGGGUAGUAUCGACAUUUUAACAAUAUUUGUUGUUCUUAUCCAGGAG